GUCCUGAGACGGUAGGGGCUUGGGUGGGAAAUGUGGUACUUUGUUUCCAGACUUGCAGAAUGUCCUGGCCAUGGGAAUGCAGUUUCUCCCUCUCUCUGGCCUCCUUUUAAGGUGGCCUUUCUUUACAGAUUUGCUCAGGGAACGCAACAAGGAAUUCAGAGUCUCAGACAUUGUCGACCUAAUUAACUUCACACCAUUUACCUGUUGAUUCUCUGCAAGUAAAUAUUUUUAUCAAAGUCCACCGUAAGCGUACGGGGUUGGCUGAGAACACCUCCAAGAGUGACCCAGAAAAUGCCACCGACGAUCCCUCCCAUUGAAGACGAUGGCGCUGCCUUUCCCAGCACAAGGCUGACAAUCGCUCGCUCUGCUUCGCUAAUUUCAAUACCGUGUCCAGCUCGAGAUAUUAGAGAAGCUAAUUAACCUCCGUGUAACGCAAUUUGCCAAUCAGGGAGAGCUGCGCUCACUCCUCUGCUUGACAAAGACAGGGGUUUGCUGAUACCUGGGAAGAAAGCAAGGACACGAGAAGAACCAGGACAUGAGGGGCUGAGAAAUCACGGCCAAAAAGAAAAGAAAAUGUGGUCCAGAGAGAUGCCGUCAGUUCCUGGCUAGAAGUGAUGCUUUUACUCUUUGGGGAGUUUAACAAUUUUGAGAACAACCGUCUUAUUAGUCGUGGAAAAAGACACAGCAUGAAGACCCAUAGAAGGCAAAUUCCACUGUUUGCCGAGAGACGGAUUUAUAACCAUUGGCUAUGCAUCAAAACCUGGCUUCAUUUUUUUCCUUCUGUCGUUAAUGUAGACAGGAAAUCACAAUUUCCAGAUGGGGUGAUUCCCCAACCUGCCACACCAUAUAAGGUUCCGGUACAUCUUCUUCUAUUGGAAAGGAAAUCAUCCAUCCCAUUACUGGCCACACAUUGGUAAAAUUAGUGUUUUUAUGGGGGAAACCAUAGGGGUAGCAAAAGAGAAGGCAAGCAAAUGACUUUAUAAGAUUUAAAGCUAUUAGCUAAGAAAUUAGAUAGCAGGAAAGAGCUCACCAGCUUCUCAUUUUUAAUGAUUAAAUACAUUCACAUCGCCACAAGAAUUCUCAACUUCCUGGUGAGUGCGAAAUCCAAAUUCCUUACAUCCAUCACCCCAGAGUCAUCUGGACCCAGUUCUGUGACUGUCUGUAGCACUGGCUUCGUCUCUUGGGGUUUCCCUACCUUUAUAGGGAAGCGCUGUCCUCUUGAAACCUUUCCCCAAAUCAUCUUUUCCUUCUUUUCCCCCUAGCCCUUCAAGCGCAAAACUGCUUUCACUCAUCCGGGUUCUCAGACUCUCUUUCUGAUAACUCCUCUGCGUCUUUCCGCAUACUUACCCACUGUGCUUCUCUCACCAGAAAUGCACGGCACUUUCACAUCGGUUGCGGUGGCAAAGUAUGCGUGGGCUUCCGCUAAGGGCAAAGGGUCCUUCGUUAGGCAAGGCGGUUUGAUGGACAUUACGGAGACCUUAGACGGGAAGUAGGACAGGAUGAACCCCCAUAGCAUAAGUGCUGUGUUGAGGUGAAGGAUUUGCUUUUCUCACAACAUCUACCUAAGAACAAGGGAGCUGUGCACCUCUCCAGGGACUAGAAGUUGACAUUGCACCAAAGAGACAUCAUCUCAAAACUAUUCCACCCCUCGCCUCUUCUGCCAAAGGCCCAUUUAUUUUUUCUAAAAGUGCCUCUGUUUCCCUCCCCUUUACCUUAGGAGGCACUUCACGCCCCAAAUCUAUCCAUCUACUCACGUCACAUUUUUCUCUGAAUUCCUAUGCAUAAGCGAAUCGAGACUUUUUUCAUUCCUUGCUAAUCUGUAUUUGGUCAGUUUUAUGAGCAAGACCUCAGUGAUUGAAUUUAAGAGAAAAAAGAACAAAGUUUUCCUGACUCAGUAUCAGCUACUGGGCUGAAAACGGCUUACGUCUAAACAGAAACAUGGAAAUGAAGCUUUUAAUAUUGAUAUGCAUUAAUGAAAAUGAUGUGUUUUUAAAGGAAUAAUGAGAGUCAUUAAAACUUAUAUACAGUACAUGCGUUAUGUGCAUACAUGUGCAGGCAAAAAUGACGCUCUCUUAAAGAAACUUCGCAGCACCAUUCUCGGAAUUGUGCUUUUUUUUUUUUGUACCCGAGAUCGAAUUCGGGACCUUGUUGCUUGAGAGUCAUGGGGCAAAACCACUGAGCUAAAUCCUCAGCCCUGUUUGUGCUAUUUUGAUUGUCCUCUUUUGCUCGGCAUACUUUCCAGGUUCGUCCAGUCCUGGAAUCCCCUUCCCUUUUCAGGUGGACUCGUACUCCAUUCUGAGUGCAGACCGCCUUUUCUUUAUUCAUUCACUUAGCGAUGGUCGUCUGAGUUUGGACCCCUGGCAGCUGCUGUGAAUGAUUCUUUACUGAGCACGGCUGCGUAUCUAUCGGGUUGAGAUUCUGAUGGUUACCUAGAAAUGAAAUUACACAACCUUAUUAUUAUUUUUUUUUCUUAAGGAAAUUGAGCACCACAGUCCGAGUCAGAGUCAGGAAACGAAAUUCCUGACUCUUAGAUACACCGGGAUAAAGAUAAACUAAUGACACAUGGAGGCCAGUGACUCCCUAGACAUCUGUUUCCCCCGGGCUUUGUAAACAGAGAGAAGCCUGAACAUGGAUUAUAGUUAUCUGAGUAGAGCAGGCCCC
rnacentral:lncRNA from 1 species